GGGCUAAUCCUGGAGGAACUUCCUUCUAGGCAUGGAGAACCCAGGACCCAGAGGGAUGGAAGAGUGAUUCUUCCAUUGUCUGUGAGGACUGGCGGACACAGGGAGUGUUGAGGCAGGAGGCAGAAGUGGGUCAGCAGGCCUAGGGGAAGCCCCCAGCGUGGCUCACAAUGAGUUAUCCACAGAGUGGAGAGCUGAGGGGAGAAAGGAGCAGUGAGGUUUGAUUAAGAGUGGAAAGUGAGGUUUUGAGGUGGGGAGAGAGGAUGGCCUUGGCUUUCCUGACAGGGUAGUGCCUGAGGCCAUCUGCCAGUGCACUGAGGCUUGCCAUAUUGUCAUUAUUUAAAAUUCACAAAGACUUUCAUCAGCCUUGUAACAGACUCUCACUGACACCCGGCCUUACAUCUGUUGAUCUGCUUUUAAAUGUGGUGCGAUCUUCCCUCCCUCUAUCUGCCGGGAUGCGAGUGCCAGGCGUGCCGGCCCUGGACUGGAGCCAAGGAGUAUUGAUUACAUACUGUCUGUCCUGUUGUCCAAACUUGUGUAUGCUCCACAGUCAAACAUCACCCAACAGGAAGGGUGCUUCAUGGAAUUCCAAUUAUGAGUCUUGAGAAGAAUAAUAUGGAAGAGACUGGGUAGCUGGCACAAAGCAUUCUGCUCUAAACUCUGGAGGCUGCAGUCUGCACUGAUUUUACAGAACCUAACAACUCCCGAUUGCCAGCAAGGGUGGCGAGCUCCCCACCCCCACAUACAACUUUAUCCACUACAAUGACAGAAACUUAGUUACCUAUGUAUUAGAGAACUCUAGACUUCUGACAUGCGCAGUGCCCCACUGUGGACUCGGAGCGCGCUCACUGGCUGAGUGAGGGUCAAAUCAGUGCCUCAAGGAGAAUUUUCAAGUGGAUCAAAAGGAAUUGUGUCUGUCCUCUGUGGUUUGGGAAGACCGUGUCAUCCUUUGAAGACAAGCAAGCUUGGACAGCCUGGCUCACAACAGAACGUGAGGGAGGGGCCGUUCUCCGCACCACUUCUGAUAACCGUUCUUUUCUUCCUUUACGCUGGGGUCUGAAGUCUGGCAAGAACAGCGGGCCCACGUGGGCAUUGGUGUGAACCCUGGGUGGGCUAUGAAGCCCAUUGGGUGCCAACCCACGCAGUCUCUUUCCUGGGUCUCGUCCCGAUCACAGGGCCUGAGAGUUUCCUGGAAGGAGCCUGUCUCCCGCGCGAGUGGGCUCUCCUUCGGGGACCGAGCCUCCUCCAGCUGGAGCCUCCGUUCAGCUUCUGCUCUCCAGGCGGGCCUCCGCCGGCCUCACGCCGUGGCCUCCGGGACACGUUUCUGUGUCGAUGCUGCCAUGGAACCAAAUCCAAGGAGGUUGGGGUCUUGAGAGAAUUUUCCCUUUUUUUUCCUCUUUGGUUCUCCUACAGUUUCUGUGGAAGUAGAGGGGUACUGCGAACUCACGAUCUCGGCUGAAGUAGAGGGGUACUUCGAACUCAGGAUCUCGGCUUUUCUGGGUCAGCAGUUCCAAGGGCCUCGGUGCAGCAGAAAGGCCCAGUCACCCCACGCUACUUCUGCCUCCUAGCACCGAGAACCGCUUUCUGUGUUUCCCUUCUGCCCCCCUCUCUGCUUACGGAAUCUGCCUUCUCCAGCAUGUCCCUGGGGCCUAGCCACCCCCACUCCCCACCCCACGCUGUGCUUCCGCUUCCGUCUGCUGCAGCCCGCCCGGCUUUGCUCCUGCUGCAGUUCCAGGAGUUCACACCACACGUCUUCGUGGUGAAGACAACUUCCUUUUGAGAGAGGUCCCCGGGAGGAUGUGCUGGCUGUGUGUCUGUCCCUGCACUGGCCCCUGGUGUUGGGUGUUCACUUCCUGCUCUGCCAGGGCAGUGACAGCUCUCUCAAAAACACACGCUGGGCUGAAAGACUGGUUUGCCCUGACAGAUGAAGGAAUUUCCAUAAAGAUGAUUAAAAUGAUAUGGAAGGCAUAUGUAUGGCCCACACAGUUGAAACCAGGGGCUGGACGGAUCUACCCGCACACGCAGCAGCAUUAACAAAUAUGGAAGAAACAACGCAAAUGUCUACAAACAGACAAUGUUUGAACGGAUAAACAAAUUUGGCAUAUGCGUACAAUGGGAUAUUGGCCUUAGAAUAGAAUGAAAUUCUGAUAUCGGAUGCAGGCUACAGCGUGAAUCAACCUUGAAUACACUUAGCCGAGUGAAGAGAGCCAGGUACAAAAAGAUGCAUUCGCUGUCAUUCCACCUGUAUGAGAAAACUGUCAAACUCAUAGAACAGUGGUCACUAGAGUCCUGGGGUGAGGGGACACGGAGUUACUGUCUAAGCAGCCUGCCUUGCUGUUCGAGGAGAUGGCUGUGUACUCACGUGAAUGCACUUAAUCGCUAAGUGUUAAUCAUUAAGUCUUAAUGGAACUGAGCUGUACACUUAAAAUGGUGAGUUUGGUAAAGCUUAUGUUACCUGUCCUUUUACCACAGAAAACUAUAACGAGUGACAUGGAUGCUAGUUGUGUCCUUCUUCAUAAUUUAGUUUUCUUUUUGGUCUAGGGUAUGAGUAUAAGAAACAAAAGAUGUGCAAAUUGUUGGAGAUCUGCCCACCAAGAUAGCUGUUGUUUGUGCGUCUUCUAUGUCAUGCU